rnacentral:rRNA from 1 species
UACGGGGGGGGCAAGCGUUGUUCGGAAUUACUGGGCGUAAAGGGCUCGUAGGCGGCCAACUAAGUCAGACGUGAAAUCCCUCGGCUCAACCGGGGAACUGCGUCUGAUACUGGAUGGCUUGAGUGUGGGAGAGGGAUGCGGAAUUCCAGGUGUAGCGGUGAAAUGCGUAGAUAUCUGGAGGAACACCGGUGGCGAAGGCGGCAUCCUGGACCAUUACUGACACUGAAAAGCGAAAGCCAGGGGAGCAAACGGG